UACGUAGGGGGCAAGCGUUGUCCGGAUUUAUUGGGCGUAAAGAGCGUGUAGGCGGCUUUACAGGUCCGUUGUGAAAACUCGAGGCUCAACCUCGAGACGCCGGUGGAAACCGUAAAGCUAGAGUCCGGAAGAGGAGAGUGGAAUUCCUGGUGUAGCGGUGAAAUGCGCAGAUAUCAGGAGGAACACCUAUUGCGAAGGCAGCUCGCUGGGACGGAACUGACGCUAAGGCGCGAAAGCGUGGGGAGCGAACAGG
rnacentral:rRNA from 1 species